rnacentral:rRNA from 1 species
UACGAAGGGGGCUAGCGUUGCUCGGAAUCACUGGGCGUAAAGGGUGCGUAGGCGGGUCUUUUAAGUCGGGGGUGAAAUCCUGGAGCUCAACUCCAGAACUGCCUUUGAUACUGAGGAUCUUGAGUUCGGGAGAGGUGAGUGGAACUGCGAGUGUAGAGGUGAAAUUCGUAGAUAUUCGCAAGAACACCAGUGGCGAAGGCGGCUCACUGGCCCGAUACUGACGCUGAGGCACGAAAGCGUGGGGAGCAAACAGGG